UGCGUAGACGGGAAAUUAAGUUAGUUGUGAAAUCCCUCGGCUUAACUGAGGAACUGCAACUAAAACUGGUUUUCUUGAGUGCUGGAGAGGAAAGUGGAAUUCCUAGUGUAGCGGUGAAAUGCGUAGAUAUUAGGAGGAACACCAGUGGCGAAGGCGACUUUCUGGACAGUAACUGACGUUGAGGCACGAAAGUGUGGGGAGCAAACA
rnacentral:rRNA from 1 species